ACUUUAAGCAUUGCCAUAAAGUCACCUAUUGCAACACUUUAUUGGGAAAUAAAGACUAUUGCAACGGUUUUAGUUUAUUCCCUGCCAAAUUUUUCACUUAAAUCCAAAGAAAAAAGGCUAUUGCAAAGGUUAAUUCAUUAAGUCUAAACCAAAAAUAAAAAUUUCAGUAAGUGCGAAAUCGACCAAUUCUCUCAAAUCGACCACCAUACUCCUACCACCAUUACACUGCUCCGAUCGCCGUACCAUUGUUUCGACCACCGUACCACUACUCUGAUCACCGUACCACGAUUUCGAAGCUGCUCCAACCACCACAUCAAGAAGCCAAAAAGUGUGACCACUGCUGCUCCGACUUCAGCUCCUCCAGUGCUCCGACUUCACAAAUUUAAAGUUUUCUUCUUUAAUUUGGUGAUUUUAAGUUACUUGUUGAUCUUGGAUUGAACAAAUUGGAGGACCAACAAGCUUACAACCCUCCUAAUUCCUUACAUUUUCUUGAGUCUCCCUUCUUUACUCUUUGGUUGGUUCAGUUUGUGAAUAUGGAGUUCCUGUGACUUUUCCCAUAGAAGGUUGCCUUUGCUAUUAGCUUCUGCAAUCACUUAUGGUUACAUAUACCAGCCUGCGGAUUCUUCUCCAAAUAAAGCCAGAUUACUUCUCAAGUUAUAGUUAGAUCUAAAAUUUCAGCGUGUAUAGAUUCUCUCGAAGGUGAAUGGAUGUUGAGGUUGAUAACGGGAAGACCAUGGCCAAGUGGAUUUGGAUCAGGUAUCACUGUUGAGCAAGUUACAAGCUCCAAUCUUACUACUAUUGUUACAGAUAGUAGCGCAAGUUCUAUUUGCUCUGUCAAUACCAAGCAACAAGCAGACAUUGUUGCUUUCCACCUUCAAAGUGUUGAUACCCAUUCUUUUCCUAGGAGAUAGAAUGGUGACAAACUCCUUGGCAUCAAUUUCAUACAAGUUGCUGCCGAUUAUGUGAAGGUGGUCGAGGCAUUCUUCAUGAAGAAAAUCCAUGUUCCAGUCCAAAUAGAACAAUAGAUGCUUCCGCUGAUACAUAUGGUGAAAGUGGGUGUUUGUCUUGCACUCCUUGUAUUAUCUUUUAGUACCAAGAAGGCUGGUGAACUUAAGUCUAAUUAUUGAGGACUGUUUUCUGAAAGUAAAUUGGGAUCCCCUUAUGAGAAUUGAUCUUUUCCCGACCAAAGUGCUACGUGCUACGAUGCUGAAGAGACGAUUUGCUGGCACCAUCAUCAAAACGAAACAGAAAUCCCUUCCACUUGAUGUAAUGCCUUGCCUUUUCCUCAUAGAGCUUGUUGCAUACAUUAUUUAAAUUUAAUUUGAUUUGUCACAAUUGUUUUAUUUUUUAAAAAUCAGGGUGAUAGGGCUGAUUUACAUAGAAUGCAGCAGAAAAGAGCACAACUGAAAAAUAUUGAUGUUUUGAAGUGGGAAUUGUUGCUAUUGUUGGUUAUUUUAGAUUGAUUUUAAUGGCAAAAAAUUUCCCAUUCUGUUUUUC